UAGACACUACAGACAUCU
rnacentral:misc_RNA from 1 species